ACAUCCUUUCCAUUCAACUGUUGGCCCUCAACAAUAGAAUAAUAACAAAAAAAUAUAAAAAAUAGUUUCGCUUUUAACACCUUUCUUUUCAUGGCCAUAGGUUAAAAUAAAAUUAAAAAAUCAGUUAUAAAAAUAUCCACUAUUUCAGUCAAAAAUAAGGUCAGUCCUCCUGAUGCUCUCUGGUAUACUUUCCCGAAGAUCAAAUCACUCCCAACAGUCCUUGAUUACCAAUCAAGUAGGCAUGAAAGUCUUUGCAAGAAGUGUUUUUAAAGUUGUAUUGUGUACACAGAAGCCCCUUCAGUGACUCAACAGACAAGUGAUUCCUUUCCUUUGUCCACUGGCUUUGCAUCAGUGAAAAAACUCUCUACAUUUGCAUUGUGAGAAGGAAUAGCAAAGAAAAACGGUGCAAUCUUCAGUAGCUCUGAAUGAAAAUCUAUGCUUUUGGACCUUUCAAAAUAUUUGGUCCACUUCUUGUGUGCUUGCAGAUUACUGAACUCUCCAUCACUGUUACACCUUUAUGUGGAUUUCUUCAGGUUGAUGACCUGAUCAAAGCACUUUGCAUCAUCAAUUGGCACCCCCUUUUCUCCCAGGUGUUUUAUACAGGCUUCUAUGUCAUUCCAGUCAGGUGUCUCACUCAGAUCCAUCCACAUGAAAGAGGAGAACUCCUCCAUGGGUGCCAUCCAUUUCUCCAGAUACUCCAGGCAUGAACUGUACAGACCGUGUACUUGAGCACUGAAAUGGUCACAAUUCUUACCAAGUCCAUCCUUGUGCUUUUGUGCCAAUAGUCCCUUAACUUUAAGGGACAUGAAGUUAUUGGUCUUGCGUUCAAGAAGCAUGGUGUGGACUUUGUUCAAAAGGUUCUUCACUUCCACAAUUGAAUUACUCUCCCUUUACAUCUCCUGAAUAUGUGAAUGAAACACACACAUGAGUGAGUGCAUGUGCCAGAGGUUAAUUUCACUGAACUCAUCUUCAAAAAACUUCUUGAUCAAGGAGGGUGUUUUUUCCUGUGACAAAAAUAAUGCUUUCAAGGCUGGAAACAUCUGUAUCAGCCUCUCAAUACCUGGGAAUAAUGACAGCCAUCGCGUCUUGCUGUGAGAAAGGAGACUUCUGUAUUCAACAUCAACAAAUUCACAGUACUCCUUCAGAUUCUCUGUGCGCACAGUGUAGAUGUGAAAGUAUUGACAUACUUUCAAGAUGAUGUUCUCAAUAUCGACAUCUAGUGUGUCUGCCCCGUAAUGAACACAAUUGUUCAAGACGUGUGCUGGGCAGCCCACACCGAUUAAAGACUUGUUCUGCAAUGACUUCUUUAAGUUCGCGAAAACAUUCUUUCCUUCUUCAUCACGCCGGAUUCUCCCGAACAUUGUAUUGCAGUUUUCACCCGUAAAUGCAAUACAUUUGGAAAAAAUCCCAUUAUUUUCCAGUGUUUCUUUGAUGUAUUGCGCGAUCGUAUCAGCUGUCUCGUUUGGAGUGUUUUUAACUUCGACUAAUUUACUUUGCACGCCACCAUUCUUCCAAUCAAAAUACUGAAUAAGCAGAGGGAAUAUUUUCACAGCACCGUGAUUUCUCCCAUCAGUAGAAACACCACAGUAAGGACAAUGACCCAACACACCUCCAGGCUGUGUAAGGGCUAUUUGACCAAGAAGGAGAAUGGAGGGCGGAGGGCGGAGUGAGG
rnacentral:lncRNA from 1 species